AAGAAGUAUAAACCUAGAAGAUCAAAUUCUACCUAAAUUGUUAUUUGGAAUUUUCAUUUUCUGGGUUUUGUUACUUUUUUAUAUUUCAAUUAGGUGGCACUCUCCAUAUCUAUGUGAGUUAUCAGAAGGACAAGAUCAAGGACUCAUGUUGAAGGUCGAGCAAGUUUGGAUUGUAGCUGUUGACUCAAGGUAGAGUAUCAGAACAAAGCAAUGGAAGAAUUGUAGCCGUGACUAUAUAAACGACAGUGUUUAUAUUUAAAAUAGCUAUACUACUUGUACUUUAGGAUUAGUUUAAUUCAUAGUUAUUAUUUAUAUACACGUUUAUUAAUCUGAUUGGUUGUAGAGGCUAGAUUCGUAUAUUGUGGAGUUAGUAAGAAGUUAGUUACUCUCAGACUUUGUAUAAAUACUUGAUGUACAUUCAUUUUCUUUCAAUGCAAUAUAGAAUUCUCUUAUCAAAUUCUCAUAAUA